UACGUAGGGUGCAAGCGUUAAUCGGAAUUACUGGGCGUAAAGCGUGCGCAGGCGGUUUUGUAAGUCUGUCGUGAAAUCCCCGGGCCCAACCUGGGAAUUCGCGAUGGAGACUGCAAGGCUAGAAUCUGGCAGAGGGGGUAGAAUUCCACGUGUGAGCAGUGAAAUGCGUAGAGAUGUGGAGGAACACCGAUGGCGAAGGCAGGCCCCCUGGGUCAAGAUUGACGCUCAUGCACGAAAGCGUGGGAGCAACGAGG
rnacentral:rRNA from 1 species